rnacentral:lncRNA from 1 species
AUGUAGACAAGCCUUACCCCUACCCGAAAGGGCAGAGAGGCUAUUUCCAAUCGACCCCCGGCUCAUAUGAUAAAAAGAAAAACAGCAGUAAAACAAAAACAAAGACAACACCAAAAACAAAAACAACAACAAUAGAACAUUAGUAUCUCCAGCAGAAAUAGCAUAAAUAGCGUAAAUAAUUAUCUAAACAUACGAAACAUAAAUACAAUCUCAUGCAAUAAUAUCAUACAGUAACUACCAUAACUAACAACCAUAGAGGGGACAUAAGCUAAAACACAAAUCAUCUAUGGGUAACCCUGCUGACCCACACCCAAUCCCGGAAGAGGCGUACGAAAAACUCGAGGAGCCCCUAUCCUACAACACUGAUUCUAGACCUCCAGACUUUCCUAUCAAGGGUCUUGUCCUCGGAAACCUGCAUUCUAGUCAUGUCCUGCCUAAUCACUUCUCCCCAAUACUUCUUAGNNNN